rnacentral:lncRNA from 1 species
GGGAGCGUGGGGACGCGACGCAAGACGCUCCAAACGCUGGGAAACCUGGCCAUCCAGGCCUUGAGUAAGCGGUCAAGCUCAGCAGACAGGAGCUGGCUCAAUACCCUCCUGGGAGAUUGGUGUUCUGAGACUCCUGACUGCCCAAGGGAUGCCACAUGUUUCUGACUCAGAGCAAGAAGGUUGUGGAAGAUGUUCGAGUUGCCCAAAGCAAA